rnacentral:rRNA from 1 species
UACGAAGGGUGCAAGCGUUACUCGGAAUUACUGGGCGUAAAGGGUGCGUAGGUGGUUGUUUAAGUCUGCUGUGAAAUCCCCGGGCUCAACCUGGGAACUGCAUCUGUGACUGUAUAGCUAGAGUACGGUAGAGGGGAUGGAAUUCCGCGUGUAGCAGUGAAAUGCGUAGAUAUGCGGAGGAACACCGAUGGCGAAGGCAAUCCCCUGGACCUGUACUGACGCUCAUGCACGAAAGGCGUGGGGAGCAACAGG